rnacentral:rRNA from 1 species
CUAGCACUUAUUAGAUAUUAAACCAGUCCUAGCAAUGGGUUUUUUGGUGAUUCAUAGUAACUGAACAAAUCACAUGGUCUCGUACCGGUGAUGUUUCAUUCAAAUUUCUGCCCUAUCAACUAGAUGGUAGUAUAUAGGACUACCAUGGUUGUAACGGGUAACGGAGGAUUAGGGUUGAUUCCGGGAGAAGGAGCAUGAGAAACGGCUACUAUUUCUAAGGAAAGCAGCAGGCGCGCAAAUUAUUCAAUGGAAACAAUUUUCCGAAAUUGUGACAAAAAAUAUCAAUGCUGGGUAUUAUAUACUUAGUAUUGGAAUGAGUACAAUUUAAAUCCCUUAACAAGUAACAAUUAGAGGGCAAGUCUGGUGCCAGCAGCCGCGGUAAUUCCAGCUCUAAUAGGCGUAUAUUAAUAUUGUUGCAGUUAAAAAGCUCGUAGUUGAAAUUUGGG